UCUAAUUGUCAUAAAUGCUUUACUUCUUUUUUAAUUUAAUUCCUGAUUUUAUAAUAAAAUUUUCAUAUUCAAAUAAGAAUAUUGCCAAAUAAUUGUAAGUUUAAUUGUUAUUCAAUUUUGAUAUUCUAUGGUUUUCUGCUUUGAAAGAAUUGGUUAUCAAAACAAGAAAUCAUAUGAAAAGAAUUAUGAAAAUAAAAGUGUUUGUGUUUUGCAAAAUACCUAAGGGGGAAAGAGAUUUUUUUUAUAAAAAAAAAAGGUGUUUGUGUGUUGCAAAAUAUCUAUAGCGAAAAGAAUUUU
rnacentral:lncRNA from 1 species